UUCCGUAAGAACUAGGGCUUGUAAGAUUCAGAAAAGGAUAUGAAUUGUCCUUUCAGUGGUGACAAGUUGUAUUUCUUUUCUGACAGUGCGUCAGCGUCAAGAAGAG
ensembl:miRNA gga-mir-6544 gga-mir-6544